rnacentral:rRNA from 1 species
UAGGGAAUCUUCCACAAUGGACGCAAGUCUGAUGGAGCAACGCGCGUGAGUGAAGAAGGUCUUCGGAUCGUAAAGCUCUGUUGUUGGUGAAGAAGGAUAGAGGCAGUAACUGGUCUUUAUUUGACGGUAAUCAACCAGAAAGUCACGGCUAACUACGUGCCAGCAGCCGCGGUAAUACGUAGGUGGCAAGCGUUGUCCGGAUUUAUUGGGCGUAAAGCGAGCGCAGGCGGAAUGAUAAGUCUGAUGUGAAAGCCCACGGCUCAACCGUGGAACUGCAUCGGAAACUGUCAUUCUUGAGUGCAGAAGAGGAGAGUGGAACUCCAUGUGUAGCGGUGGAAUGCGUAGAUAUAUGGAAGAACACCAGUGGCGAAGGCGGCUCUCUGGUCUGCAACUGACGCUGAGGCUCGAAAGCAUGGGUAGCGAACAGGAUUAGAUACCCUGGUAGUCCAUGCCGUAAACGAUGAGCGCUAGGUGUUGGGGACUUUCCGGUCCUCAGUGCCGCAGCAAACGCAUUAAGCGCUCCGCCUGGGGAGUACGACCGCAAGGUUGAAAC